rnacentral:rRNA from 1 species
UACAGAGGGUGCAAGCGUUGCUCGGAUUCAUUGGGCGUAAAGGGUGCGUAGGCGGCGCGGUAAGUCGGGUGUGAAAUCUCGGAGCUUAACUCCGAAACUGCAUUCGAUACUGCCGUGCUUGAGGACUGGAGAGGAGACUGGAAUUUACGGUGUAGCGGUGAAAUGCGUAGAUAUCGUAAGGAAGACCAGUGGCGAAGGCGGGUCUCUGGACAGUUCCUGACGCUGAGGCACGAAGGUCAGGGGGAGCAAACGGG